rnacentral:lncRNA from 1 species
UAAUAAUUAAUCAAUAAUUUAAUUAUUUACUCAAAAUAUAAUUAGAUCAUGAGAUAAUCUCAAUCUAAAACAAUAAUAAUUAUAAUUUGUCAUUAGCUGUGGAAACAGAGGGAGAAAGAUAUUGUUUGAGGGUGACGUGUAAUUUGUGUUUGGUGUUUGGUACAUUAGUGAAGGGAAAAAAGCUUGUGUUUAUCAUGUCCAGGAGCUGUAAAUUUCAUUUAUUGAUAUUUUAAUAAUAAAUUUUUUUUGAGUCUCAUAAUAAAAAUCACGGCGAAUCCUGCAACAACAGCACGCCACACAAGUCCUUGUCGACAAGAGCACCCGCGCACUUUCAGAUUCAUUUGUGUCCCAACUAAUCAGGAAAGAAAGAAAAGAGUGAUGUGAUGUGCAGAAUAGUCGCGUGACACAACAGCACCGCCGCUUGCACAGUUGCUGGGUGAUAUUUAUUUUCAAUUUUCCAGAAACAAUUUGUGCGUCGUCGUCGCGUCAUGUGUGUGAGUUGCAUCGUUUUACGAGUUCUUGUACUGCGUGCAACUUUUCAUUUUAUGUGAUUUGGCAGCGAGGUAUCUGAUAAGGGAUCACUUAUUUAAAUUGAUAUUUUAAUAAUAUUCAAUAAAUAUAAAUAUA